GAUGAAGAACGCAGCGAAAUGCGAUACUUGGUGUGAAUUGCAGAAUCCCGUGAACCAUCGAGUCUUUGAACGCAAGUUGCGCCCGAAGCCAUUAGGCCGAGGGCACGCCUGCCUGGGCGUCACACGUCGUUGCCCCCCCAUCUACUCCUUCGGGAUUGCGGGGGGCGGAUGAUGGCCUCCCGUGCGCCUCGCCGCGCGGUUGGCAUAAAUGCCAAGUCCUCGGUGACGCACGCCACGACAAUCGGUGGUUGCGAAACCUCGGUUGCCCGUCGUGUGCGGUCGUCGCGCAUCGAGGGCUCGAAAAAAUUGCCGGGUUCCGGCUCGGCUUUCAACGCGACCCCAGGUCAGGCGGGGUUACCCGCUGAAUUUAAGCAUAUCAAUAAGCGGAGGA
rnacentral:misc_RNA from 1 species